GUGCCAGCCGCCGCGGUAAUACGUAGGGUGCGAGCGUUAAUCGGAAUUACUGGGCGUAAAGCGUGCGCAGGCGGUUUGUUAAGUCUGAUGUGAAAGCCCCGGGCUCAACCUGGGAAUGGCAUUGGAAACUGGCAAGCUCGAGUUUGGCAGAGGGGGGUGGAAUUCCGCGUGUAGCAGUGAAAUGCGUAGAGAUGCGGAGGAACACCGAUGGCGAAGGCAGCCCCCUGGGCUAAGACUGACGCUCAGGCACGAAAGCGUGGGGAGCAAACAGGAUUAGAUACCCCCGUAGUCC
rnacentral:rRNA from 1 species